rnacentral:lncRNA from 1 species
ACAGAGCCCAGCACCUCCUUCCCCUCCCGGGGUCUCCCGCUGGACUGCGCUGCGGUUUCUCUGCACAGCGCUUGUCGGGUGUGUUGAGCUGGAGGUCUUGGCGCAGCGACGGGCUUGGGUGGCCAUGUGUUCCCGUUUGCAGUAUGCAUGCUGCUGACCUUCCAUUCUCAGGGACAUCCAUCCCUCAAAGCACACCUAGGUGUGAUGGCACAGGAGUUGAACCUGGUGAGCUGGUUCAACCUGAUAAAGUGGAAAACGCUGAAGUAUGUGGAAAACAAGAAACAGGGAUAGAGAAGUAAAAACUACAUUUUCACACACACCACCCCAAGAUCGCCAAAUCACCAAAAUGUGUAUUUGAUAUGUAAUUAAAGUUAGACUUUCAGGCAAUUCCGUCUUACAUUUCUGUCUUAUAUUUCUGUCUUACAUUUUUCCUUUCUUCUCAACCACCCCUAAAGCGUCCUUACCGAAGAUACUUGUCUUCACUAAUACAGCUUUCUCUUCAGUUGUUUUCUCCAAUUGCUCCUAGUCUUGUCACUUAAACAUUUUUUUUUUUUGAGACAGACUCUCACUCUACCACCCAUGCUGGAGUGCAGUGGCACAAUCUCGGCUUACUGCAGCCCUUCCGGGUUCAAGUGAU